ACCUCACGAGUAACCCCAGAGUGCAGUCUGGACGAUGGGGCGGGGCGACACUUCGAGGCGGAGCGACACGUGUCGCCCCGCCCAUAUUUGUUUUCCCCGCCUUUGACAUUUUCCUCCGAGCCAGCAGGGGGCAGUUUGCGUUGAAACAAACAGAACGGUGGCAACUACAGCAGCAGAGUAAUAACGCUAUUCCGUUGAUUGCUUGAGGAUGACAUGAUCAGGAGGUGGUGGUGUUCUGUUCUCCUGGACAGCUUUACUCCGCAAAUAGCUCAACCACUGAGGGGAGGAACUUCACCAUUCACCAUGUCUUCAGGCAGAGUCCAGCAAAGCAGCUUCCACUGGAAAUCCUCAGGGAAGUUAUUUUGUCAGCGGGUGACUCGCAUAUUUGACUCUUUCUCUGGUUUGCAGAUAGUUUAGGGUUGUGCUCCGAAGUUUUUCGGAAAGCGACACAGUUAGCCUGGCUAGACAGUAAGAUUUCCCCGUUUAAUGCUCAUUCUCCAAUUGAAUUUUGUAGUAGAAGGCUGUUAAACUUUUUUUGUAUUAUUAUUAUUAUCUUUCAUGUAUUUUGUCUUUGCACUAUAAGUUGUGGCCAACUGGAAGAAUUGUCCUCCUGUCUCCUGACCGGAACGAGUUCAGACGGAUGUACAGCAUCAGGGAACGCUUGCAGUGCGGAGCCCUUUUCAAGUUUAACCCACCAGGGUACAGGGAAGAGACCGGCUUGGUGAUCUUCUGGGCUUUUGUUUACACAGGAUUUUGUUCCAAGGACUGUUUUUUUUUUUUUUUUUUUUUUUUUUUGCGGCAUGAAACACAUUUGUGUGUUAAGUUCAUUGAAGGGAAAUAGAGAAUGGGCUGAGAUCAACUGGUUUUGAUUAUUAAUUGAUGUAAUUUAAAGUUAAACUUUGCACUGUAUAAUGUUUUAAUAAAAAAGCUAUGGAAAACA